rnacentral:rRNA from 1 species
UACAGAGGGUGCGAGCGUUAAUCGGAAUUACUGGGCGUAAAGGGCGCGUAGGUGGUUGUGUAAGCUAGAUGUGAAAUCCCUGGGCUUAACCUAGGAAGGUCAUCUAGGACUGCAUAACUGGAGUACGGUAGAGGGUAGUGGAAUUUCCGGUGUAGCGGUGAAAUGCGUAGAUAUCGGAAGGAACACCAGUGGCGAAGGCGGCUACCUGGACUGAUACUGACACUGAGGCGCGAAAGCGUGGGGAGCAAACAGG